rnacentral:ribozyme from 12 species
AAAUGGACAGACAAAUCAGCCAUCAUUUGUUCCAUAUUUUUAGCUUUGAGUUGCGUUUUAUUCUUUUGUUCUUUUUUCUCUGAAUGGAUGAAAUAUGAGAUCGAGAGGAAG